rnacentral:rRNA from 1 species
GACGAACGCUGGCGGCGUGCCUAAUACAUGCAAGUCGAGCGAUGAAGAUUGGUGCUUGCUCCACUUUGAAUAGCAGCGAACGGGUGAGUAACGCGUGGGGAAUCUGCCUUUGAGCGGGGGACAACAUUUGGAAACGAAUGCUAAUACCGCAUAACAACUUUAAACAUAAGUUUUAAGUUUGAAAGAUGCAAUUGCAUCACUCUAUGAUGAUCUCCCGUUGUCUUAGCCAAUUUGUUAGGUAAAGGCUCACCCAAGCGAAGAUACAUAGCCCACCUGAGGGGGGGGUCCGCCACAUUGGGAAUGAGACACCGCCCAAACUCCCACGGGGAGCAGCAGUAAGGGAUCUUCGGCAAUGGACGGAAGUCUUACCGGACAAAGCCGCGUGAGUGAAGAAGGUUUUCGGAUCGUAAAACUCUGUUGGUAGAGAAGAACGUUGGUGAGAGUGGAAAGCGCAUCAAGUGACGGUAACUACUCAGAAAGGGACGGCUAACUACGUG